rnacentral:misc_RNA from 1 species
GAAAUGCGAUAAGUAAUGUGAAUUGCAGAAUUCAGUGAAUCAUCGAAUCUUUGAACGCACAUUGCGCCCGCCAGUAUUCUGGCGGGCGUGCCUGUUCGAGAGUCAUUUCAACCAUCAAGCCCCCGGGCCUGUGUUGGGGACCUGCGGCCGCCGCAGGCCCCGAAAAGCAGUGGCGGGCUCGCUGUCACCCCGAGCGUAGUAGUAAUCACCUCGCUUAGGGCGUGCUGUGGGCGCCGGCCGUUCAAACCCAAUAUCCCCCCCAAAGGUUGACCUCGGAUCAGGUAGGAAUACCCGCUGAGUUUAA